UUAAGCGACUAAGCGUACACGGUGGAUGCCCUGGCAGUCAGAGGCGAUGAAGGACGUGCUAAUCUGCGAAAAGCGUCGGUAAGGUGAUAUGAACCGUUAUAGCCGGCGAUGUCCGAAUGGGGAAACCCAGUGCAAUUCGUUGCACUAUCGUUAACUGAAUACAUAGGUUAACGAGGCGAACCGGGGGAACUGAAACAUCUAAGUACCCCGAGGAAAAGAAAUCAACCGAGAUUCCCCCAGUAGCGGCGAGCGAACGGGGAGCAGCCCAGAGUCUGAAUCAGCUUGUGUGUUAGUGGAACGGUCUGGAAAGUCCGACGGUACAGGGUGAUAGUCCCGUACACCAAAAUGCACAGGCUGUGAACUCGAAGAGUAGGGCGGGACACGUGGUAUCCUGUCUGAAUAUGGGGGGACCAUCCUCCAAGGCUAAAUACUCCUGACUGACCGAUAGUGAACCAGUACCGUGAGGGAAAGGCGAAAAGAACCCCGGCGAGGGGAGUGAAAAAGAACCUGAAACCGUGUACGUACAAGCAGUGGGAGCACCUUCGGGUGUGACUGCGUACCUUUUGUAUAAUGGGUCAGCGACUUAUAUUCUGUAGCAAGGUUAACCGUAUAGGGGAGCCGCAGGGAAACCGAGUCUUAACUGGGCGUUAAGUUGCAGGGUAUAGACCCGAAACCCGGUGAUCUAGCCAUGGGCAGGUUGAAGGUUGGGUAACACUAACUGGAGGACCGAACCGACUAAUGUUGAAAAAUUAGCGGAUGACUUGUGGCUGGGGGUGAAAGGCCAAUCAAACCGGGAGAUAGCUGGUUCUCCCCGAAAGCUAUUUAGGUAGCGCCUCGUGAACUCAUCUUCGGGGGUAGAGCACUGUUUCGGCUAGGGGGUCAUCCCGACUUACCAACCCGAUGCAAACUACGAAUACCGAAGAAUGUUAUCACGGGAGACACACGGCGGGUGCUAACGUCCGUCGUGAAGAGGGAAACAACCCAGACCGCCAGCUAAGGUCCCAAAGUCAUGGUUAAGUGGGAAACGAUGUGGGAAGGCACAGACAGCCAGGAUGUUGGCUUAGAAGCAGCCAUCAUUUAAAGAAAGCGUAAUAGCUCACUGGUCGAGUCGGCCUGCGCGGAAGAUGUAACGGGGCUAAACCAUGCACCGAAGCUGCGGCAGCGACACUAUGUGUUGUUGGGUAGGGGAGCGUUCUGUAAGCCUGCGAAGGUGACCUGUGAGGGUUGCUGGAGGUAUCAGAAGUGCGAAUGCUGACAUAAGUAACGAUAAAGCGGGUGAAAAGCCCGCUCGCCGGAAGACCAAGGGUUCCUGUCCAACGUUAAUCGGGGCAGGGUGAGUCGACCCCUAAGGCGAGGCCGAAAGGCGUAGUCGAUGGGAAACAGGUUAAUAUUCCUGUACUUGGUGUUACUGCGAAGGGGGGACGGAGAAGGCUAUGUUAGCCGGGCGACGGUUGUCCCGGUUUAAGCAUGUAGGCUGGUUAUCCAGGCAAAUCCGGAUAAUCAAGGCUGAGGUGUGAUGACGAGGCACUACGGUGCUGAAGUAACAAAUGCCCUGCUUCCAGGAAAAGCCUCUAAGCAUCAGGUAACAUCAAAUCGUACCCCAAACCGACACAGGUGGUCAGGUAGAGAAUACCAAGGCGCUUGAGAGAACUCGGGUGAAGGAACUAGGCAAAAUGGUGCCGUAACUUCGGGAGAAGGCACGCUGGUGUGUAGGUGAAGUCCCUGCGGAUGGAGCUGAGACCAGUCGAAGAUACCAGCUGGCUGCAACUGUUUAUUAAAAACACAGCACUGUGCAAACACGAAAGUGGACGUAUACGGUGUGACGCCUGCCCGGUGCCGGAAGGUUAAUUGAUGGGGUUAUCCGUAAGGAGAAGCUCUUGAUCGAAGCCCCGGUAAACGGCGGCCGUAACUAUAACGGUCCUAAGGUAGCGAAAUUCCUUGUCGGGUAAGUUCCGACCUGCACGAAUGGCGUAAUGAUGGCCAGGCUGUCUCCACCCGAGACUCAGUGAAAUUGAACUCGCUGUGAAGAUGCAGUGUACCCGCGGCAAGACGGAAAGACCCCGUGAACCUUUACUAUAGCUUGACACUGAACAUUGAGCCUUGAUGUGUAGGAUAGGUGGGAGGCUUUGAAGCGUGGACGCCAGUCUGCGUGGAGCCAACCUUGAAAUACCACCCUUUAAUGUUUGAUGUUCUAACGUUGGCCCCUGACCGGGGUUGCGGACAGUGUCUGGUGGGUAGUUUGACUGGGGCGGUCUCCUCCCAAAGCGUAACGGAGGAGCACGAAGGUUAGCUAAUCCUGGUCGGACAUCAGGAGGUUAGUGCAAUGGCAUAAGCUAGCUUGACUGCGAGCGUGACGGCGCGAGCAGGUGCGAAAGCAGGUCAUAGUGAUCCGGUGGUUCUGAAUGGAAGGGCCAUCGCUCAACGGAUAAAAGGUACUCCGGGGAUAACAGGCUGAUACCGCCCAAGAGUUCAUAUCGACGGCGGUGUUUGGCACCUCGAUGUCGGCUCAUCACAUCCUGGGGCUGAAGUAGGUCCCAAGGGUAUGGCUGUUCGCCAUUUAAAGUGGUACGCGAGCUGGGUUUAGAACGUCGUGAGACAGUUCGGUCCCUAUCUGCCGUGGGCGCUGGAGAAUUGAGGGGGGCUGCUCCUAGUACGAGAGGACCGGAGUGGACGCAUCACUGGUGUUCGGGUUGUCAUGCCAAUGGCACUGCCCGGUAGCUAAAUGCGGAAGAGAUAAGUGCUGAAAGCAUCUAAGCACGAAACUUGCCCCGAGAUGAGUUCUCCCUGAGACUUUAAGUCUCCUGAAGGAACGUUGAAGACGACGACGUUGAUAGGCCGGGUGUGUAAGCGCAGCGAUGCGUUGAGCUAACCGGUACUAAUGAACCGUGAGGCUUAACCUU
rnacentral:rRNA from 1 species